AAACUAAAUCUUUUGUUCACCAGCUGCUCAGCUUUUCAGUCUGGGUCUGAGCUGAAACCUGCUGCAAGUCUGACGGUACCAAAUUACAUAUAUAUCUGUCAAAAUGAUGUAGGACCUAAAGUCUCUCUGUAAGUUGAUCCUUUUGACCCCAUGAUUAGGAGCUUCACAAUGUGGUACCACACCUGGAAACCUCCAGAACAAGAUCUCAAGGAAACACAGGAAAUUCCUGAAACAGCAAAACCCCCUAUGUGAAGACGUCUGUUAUUCCUUUGUGUAUCAGGAGCAUCACUGUUAAUUAACUGUUGAUACACUUAAAACAGCUUGGUUGGCAAUGUCCUUUUUGAAUAAAGAAGAGCCAGGUGUGUUUUUCAGGAUGAACUAGACAAUGCUGUCACAAGUUUACCUCUACAUCUUAUUGCCUUGGAAAAAUUUCCUGCAUAUCGUGGCACAAGAUGGUUGGCUCUCCAGGCAGCAGUUGGCGUUGUGAAUCAGUCAUCUCAGCAUGUGUCUCCAAGAUCCCACAGCAGGGGGAAAAAGAGGUGGAGGGUCACAUGCCUGGUGUUACAUACUUUGAGGCAGAGGUGGUAGGUGCCAUUUCUGCUCACAGCUCAUGGACCAGAACAAAGCCAUGCAUACCUGAGAGAGGACCAGAAAAUAUUCUGAAGCAGAUGGCUAUUUGGUGAGCAGUAAAUGUUUCUGUUACAACAGGUCUUGACAAACUUCAAAUGUACUCCUACUAGGCCUACUUCACACCACUAAACUCUGUACUUCCUGUUGCUUGAUGGCAUCUUAUGCUGAUGUUUUCUAUCAUAGUGUCCGGCACAAAACAAGAGCUCAAUACAUAUACUUAAUAGCGCAUUUAGAUCUAAGAGUUUCACUUUAUCAAAAGAUUUUAGUACCUACGUAGCUAUUGGGCCACAUCAGGAAAAUGUAACUGCUUCUACAACUGCAAAGAAAAUUUAACUAAUUGUAUGCUCAUCCCAGCUUCAGGUUUUUGUUUUGUUUUGUUUGCUAGCUUCUUUUUAUUUCAUAAUUUUUGCUUUGUUUUCUGCCCUUGAGCAGAGGUUCAUUUCUAGUUUUCACUGGAAUUAGAACAACAGUUGUGUCCAUAUGCAAUAACAGUGUUUCAAAUUCUUUGGGGAUUUGCCCACAGUGUCUGCAGUCAUAUUGUGACACCAGUUGUGAUGCCAGUCUCUGUAAAUCAGACUUAUUCCCAGUGAGACAUUAUAUAUUUUUGCAGCCAAUACGAUCUAUUUUAUAGCGAUUUAUAGCAUUGUCUCUGAAAAGGAUACUUUGAUUUGUGUCUUGUUUUUGUCAGUUUUCAACACUUUGAUUGUGGCCCAGGUUAAUUAAUAUUUUGUGUCUAGGUUUCCUCAUCUCUAAAAUAAAGAUGUUUAUUUCUAUAGCUUCAUGUUGACAAUUAAAUUAUAUAAUUUAUGUUACUCAACUAGCAAGUAAAUUGAUGUACAGUGUAUUUAUAAAUGAUAGAUACUAUCUUUAUGUUAAUUUUUAUUAUUGUCAUCAUUAUCAUCAAUUUUCAGGUCCGUGUUCUGACUAAAAGGAAGCCACACUCUGUCGAAAACAAGCUUUGUAAGAAAAUUUUGAAGUAUUUACUUAUAUCUAACCAUUCAUUCCACCUUUUCUCCCAAAUAACACUCUAAUAUCUUGAGACAUCUUGUCUAGGGCCAGAUUUCAUAAAUGCUUGUGAGGCAGGAGAAUAAGUUCCAGAGGCAGUUCACACUGCCUAAAGCCAAUUCACACUGACUUCCUAUAACUAAAUCUAAAGGAAAAUCUCAACUUUCCUCGCCCAAGUAACAAAAGAAUCAGAGGUUAUACUCCCUUUGCAACCUGCCCCUUUUCUGCCUGGCAGAUGAAAAAUGAAAAGUACCUAUGACUGGUCCCCUCCCACGACCAGCCAGACUGGUCACGGAUCACUACUUCAUUUACAUAGGGCGUAAACCGAGUAACCAAUGGGAAACCUCUAGAGGGUAUUUAAACCCCAGAAAAUUCUGUAACCGGUGGUCUCCAGCAGGUUGCUCAAUCUUGCUGCCACUCUGUGGGAUGUACUUUUGUUUCAAUAAAUCUGUGCUCUUC
rnacentral:lncRNA from 1 species